AGCAGCCGCGGUAAUUCCAGCUCCAAUAGCGUAUAUUAAAGUUGUUGCAGUUAAAAAGCUCGUAGUUGAAUUUCGGGAUCAAUAUGUUGGUCGUGCCUUGGUACGUACUGGCAUUAUCGAUUCCUACCUUCUGAAGAACCUCGGUGUCAUUAAUUUGGUGUCUUGGGGAAUCAGGACUGUUACUUUGAAAAAAUUAGAGUGUUUAAAGCAGGCUCGCGCUUGAAUACAUUAGCAUGGAAUAAUGAAAUAGGACGUUUGAUUCUAUUUUGUUGGUUUCUAGGAUCGGCGUAAUGAUUAAUAGGGAUAGUUGGGGGCAUUAGUAUUCAAUUGUCAGAGGUGAAAUUCUUGGAUUUAUUGAAGACUAACUACUGCGAAAGCAUUUGCCAAGGAUGUUUUCAUUAAUCAAGAACGAAAGUUA
rnacentral:rRNA from 1 species